GAUGAACGCCGGCGGCGUGCCUAAUACAUGCAAGUCGAGCGAACGGACGAGAAGCUUGCUUUUCUGAUGUUAGCGGCGGACGGGUGAGUAACACGUGGAUAACCUACCUAUAAGACUGGGAUAACUUCGGGAAACCGGAGCUAAUACCGGAUAAUAUUUUGAACCGCAUGGUUCAAAAGUGAAAGACGGUCUUGCUGUCACUUAUAGAUGGAUCCGCGCUGCAUUAGCUAGUUGGUAAGGUAACGGCUUACCAAGGCAACGAUGCAUAGCCGACCUGAGAGGGUGAACGGCCACACUGGAACUGAGAAGCGGUCCAGACUCCUACGGGAGACAGCAGUAGGGAAUCUUCCGCAAUGGGCGAAAGCCUGACGGAGCAACGCCGCGUGAGUGAUGAAGGUCUUCGGAUCGUAAAACUCUGUUAUUAGGGAAGAACAUAUGUGUAAGUAACUGUGCACAUCUUGACGGUACCUAAUCAGAAAGCCACGGCUAACUACGUG
rnacentral:rRNA from 1 species